UACGGAGGGUGCAAGCGUUAUCCGGAUUCACUGGGCUUAAAGGGCGCGUAGGCGGGCAGGCAAGUCAGUGGUGAAAUCUCCGGGCUUAACCCGGAAACUGCCAUUGAUACUAUCAGUCUUGAAUACCGUGGAGGUAAGCGGAAUAUGUCAUGUAGCGGUGAAAUGCUUAGAUAUGACAUAGAACACCAAUUGCGAAGGCAGCUUACUGGACGAAUAUUGACACUGAGGCACGAAAGCGUGGGGAUCAAACAGG
rnacentral:rRNA from 1 species